GUGAAGAACGCAGCGAAAUGCGAUAAGUAAUGUGAAUUGCAGAAUUCAGUGAACCAUCGAAUCUUUGAACGCACAUUGCGCCCGGCAGUAAUCUGCCGGGCAUGCCUGUCCGAGCGUCAUUUCUGCCCUCGAGCGAGUCCAGCAUCUAGGUGCUGGGCCCGCCCGGCGUUGGGGCACUACGGGAAGCCCUGUGCUGUCCCCCGUAGGCCCCGAAAUGAAGUGGCGGUCCUGCCGCGGCGCCCCCUGCGUAGUAUAACAGCUCGCUUCGGGACCCGGUGGAGGCCUGCCGUCAAACCUUACUCUCUAAGUUUGACCUCGGAUCAGGUAGGGUUACCCGCUGAACUUAAGCAUAUCAAUAAGCGGGGA
rnacentral:misc_RNA from 1 species